UACGUAGGUGGCAAGCGUUGUCCGGAAUUAUUGGGCGUAAAGGGCUCGCAGGCGGUCUUCUAAGUCUGAUGUGAAAUCUUGCGGCUUAACCGUAAGCGGUCAUUGGAAACUGGAGGACUUGAGUACAGAAGAGGAGAGUGGAAUUCCAGGUGUAGCGGUGAAAUGCGUAGAUAUCUGGAGGAACACCGGUGGCGAAGGCGGCAUCCUGGACCAAUUCUGACGCUGAGGAGCGAAAGCCAGGGGAGCAAACGGG
rnacentral:rRNA from 1 species